GGAGUGUCAGCGUUUUGGUAUGGACGUGCUGAGCGUGGCCGUUCUCUCCAUCCUCAUCACUGCUCCACUCGGAGCGCUGCUCAUCGGCCUGUGUGGACCACGCCUACUGAGGAGACCCAAGAACCCCGAGUGGGCUGUAAGUCAGGGUACUCUGUCGCCAUCAGAUGCCCGGGUCACCUACGAGAGUGCAAUCUGAUACUUGUGGAACUUUCCAGAACAGGCAGUCAGAAGAUCAGUACCUCAAACUCUGGCUUUGUGACUCUCCUGUGACUCUUCUACAACUCUACGAUUCUUCUCUAACUCUAUUUUGUCUCCUCUGUGACUCCCCUGUGACUCCUCUAUGACUCUCCUGUGACUCCUCUGUUCCCUUGUGACUCUACUGUGACUCCUCUAUGACUCUCAUGUGACUCCCCUGUGACUCCCCUGUGACUCCGCUAUGACUCCCCUCUGACUCUCCUGUGACUCCUCUGACUCUCGUGUGACUCCUCUAUGACUCCCCUGUGACUUCUCUAUGACUCUCCUGUGACUCCCCUGUGACUCUCUUGUGGCUCCCCUGUGACUCUCCUGUGACUCCCCUGUGACGUCUCUUUUUUUUUUCUUUCUUUUUUUUAAACAAUUUUGACCAUAGAAUUUUGCAGGUUUGUUAUGUAUACACAUUGCUCUUGAUUAUUUUAAGGCCUUUAUUUUACAUUUAUAUUUCUAAAGAGACGACUGAAAGCGGGAAAUAUAGACUAACAUUAUUUCUAUUUAAGUGUUUGUUGUAAUUUAAAAAAGGGAUUAUCUGUUUUAAAGAUAAAACAGCAUCAUGCUGGAAUUAUGCCAUUUUGCUUCUGGUAUAUUUUUCAUGGAUUAUUUGUAUUUAUUACUAACAGUAUAUUGUAUAGACAUUGCAGCGUGUUACCUCAAUACUGUACAAAUAGGAUCAUACAGAUGAAUCAUACAGGGAUAUUUUCAUGACUCUGGUCAGUAAUGACUCGGUGUAUCCAUUAAAGGAUUAUGACAAUUA